rnacentral:rRNA from 1 species
GAUGAACGCUGGCGGCGUGCCUAAUACAUGCAAGUCGAGCGAACAGACUAGGAGCUUGCUCCUCUGACGUUAGCGGCGGACGGGUGAGUAACACGUGGAUAACCUACCUAUAAGACUGGGAUAACUUCGGGAAACCGGAGCUAAUACCGGAUAAUAUAUUGAACCGCAUGGUUCAAUAGUGAAAGACGGUUUUGCUAUCACUUAUAGAUGGAUCCGCGCCGCAUUAGCUAGUUGGUAAGUUAACGGCUUACCAAGGCAACGAUGCGUAGCCGACCUGAGAGGGUGAUCGGCCACACUGGAACUGAGACACGGUCCAGACUCCUACGGGAGGCAGCAGUAGGGAAUCUUCCGCAAUGGGCGAAAGCCUGACGGAGCAACGCCGCGUGAGUGAUGAAGGUCUUCGGAUCGUAAAACUCUGUUAUUAGGGAAGAACAAAUGUGUAAGUAACUAUGCACGUCUUGACGGUACCUAAUCAGAAAGCCACGGCUAACUACGUG